UAAGUUCAAAGAAGCCGUUUAAGCCACGCUUCGAAAAGUUCCUGUUGUAAAAUUAUGUUCGGUCAAUAAACUGGGAAUAGCAUCGGCGCAAGAAGAGAAAGUAAACUGGAAUGAAACUUUACAAAGGAAAUGAAAUGAAUCAGAAACGUAAAUAUAAAAACCUUUAACCAAGAAAUUUAAAAGCUUCCUACCAUGUUGAAAGUUCCUUAGGGCAAAAGAAAAUUUAAACUGGCAUCUAACGACAUGAAAUGUAUGAGGAAAGGAUAUGAAAUGAAUCGAAAGCAUUCAACCAAGAUAACUUUCCACCAAGUUUUAAGUUCCUUAGGACAAAUGAAAAAUUAAAUUGCCAUGUUAUUUUAUGAGGAAAGGAAAUAAAAUGAAUCAGAAACGUGAAUAUAAAAGUUAUAGGCAGAUGUUUAAAGAUCUGCCUAAAAGAUCUUCACUGGAGUAUUGCAACUCUACAAUAGCAUGCUCUGUGACUGAAGAUGCAGGAAAAAGAAAACGGACUGAAGAGUUUUAUGGAAUUGAUGAGUUUAAUGAAUUGUACAACCAUCAAAAAGGACCAUCGACCCGGACACUAUAGACCCCCAGUUGAAAAAGGAAGUCGAUAGAGGAUCUGUGUAUUACGGAAUCCACAUGUAUAUUAAAAAAAUUUACACUCUCAGACAGGUUAUGUAUCUCAACAAAUGCCAUUUUACAAAAAAAAAAAUAAUAUAAAAUUAAAAUAUUUGUCUUUUAGUACUAUCAUUUCGUCAAGGAUGGAUUUACAUUAAGUUAACUGAUAAUUUGUGGUCUGGUCACUUGUCGAGACAAUUCAAUCAAGACUUGAUCAAACUUUUUAUCAAAUGUAGUUGGGCUCGACGGAUUUGGAUAGCAAUACUUGUCAAGUCAAUAAAUACGGAAGACCCUGAAAAUAGUACACAUUGGUACUUUCCAAACUAGAGAGAGUAAACUUUUUAAAUGCACUUAUGAUUUUCAUAACCCACUAUGGACUUUCCUUCAUGUUAGUGGCCAACUAUGAAACAGAAUUCAAGAAUGGAUUAAUUUUGGGUCACUGGGUCAAUUUAAUGGUCACCCACAAAUGAUUAAAAUAUUUUACUCAAUAGUCUUCCCAGAUUUAGCACUAAGACCUAUAAAACUAAGCAAAAACAAAACACAAGUAAUGAAGGAAGACAUAAAAUUGGAAAGGAUACCACCCAUCCAUCAGGACAAAAGCCAUCUAUAGAUUUAAUAAUAUUUACAAUUGUAUUUUUAAUUAUAGGCUACAAAAUAAAUAACAAAGAAAAGUUUUUGAACUUCAGCAUGGACUACCCAUAUUGGUCUGAAAAUGUAUAAUAUUUAUAUUCCAUAUUGAGUUAUGAAACAUCUUGCUUGCUUUGUAUAAAACAUUUACUAACCUGCUUAACUUUUCAAAUGUUUUCAGACAUUUUUUCCUUUGCGGGUAAUACAAUGGAAUUGGAUUAUCUUUUUUUGAAAGAACUUUUGAGCAUCUUUUGUUACUAUAAACUUAUAAACUCGUUAGUAUAAUUUGUAAUCACACGUUGAACGCAGAGCCGUAGAUUCUGCACAAUUUAUAUAUACGAACUUUGGGAAUUUAUCGAUUUACAUGUUGUAUUCUUAAUCACAACAGAGUAUAGAGAUUGUAAUAUGCGCCGCCGUCGCUACCGCGCAGAUUAAAAAUUAAUUAAUUAAUGAAAUCUUUUGAUAUUUUGUUAUUAAAAUUGUUUAGUGACAUUUUAAAAAGUUACCUCUCGUUGAAGUGUAGUUUCUGUUCAACGAGUUAGGGAGAAGGAGGCAGAUAUAAUGAAACGAGAUUUAUUUGUCGUAUGUUCCUUCCUGUAUAUUACAAUGUAUACCGCAAGAUACAUAGCUUAUGUCAAUUGUUAUCGGAACAACUACGAGGAUAGUCGGGGAACUUUUCUAGGUAUUUCUUCGUCAUCCCCUGGGAUACUGAUUGUCCUGGAGACAUUUGAAACUGAGGAAAACCAAGGACCACGUGUUUGUGCAUAAAACUUUAGUGUCUAAGAGUCGUGGUUUCUUCGAAGGCACCCCAUCUGAAAAUCUUCUGGCGCCCUAAAUUAAGAAUAUGGAGGGAUUCAACGUAAUAUAAUUUUAGGUGACGAUGGCAAAGAUAUAUCUGUUAAACUGGAGGUUUUUAAAAAGGAAUUCUAGAAGGGAUGCCAUAAAGCUGUUUUGGUGAAUUAUUGAAGUCAUGGACGAUGGAACAAAGGAGGUUCCCAGAAUGUUUCAAUUUCCUCAUGACGUAUGAAUGAUCAAAGAGAAUCUGAUAUGAAAGAAGUAAAACCAAAGCCAGAAGUCUGUUGGUGGUAAAUCUAGCGGGUAUGGCGGAUGUUAUAAAAGAAAAAGGCCCUUUUUGGACAAAAAUUUCAUCACUAUUCUAGACUUGUGAGCCGACGCGUUGCUAUGUAUUAUGACAAGCUGUGUCGAAAUAAAAGGGUUCAGUAUCGAUUUUCUACAGCCAUUGUCGCAAGAUUUUGGAUGAAGUCCAUUCUAUACAUUACUUAAUUAAAGAAAUAUACAGCCAGUGUUAACUUCAUUCACAUAAGAUUGGUGUAGUGGUGGUAUAAUUGUACUGCGGUGGUAGCGAUAAUUUCUAAAUGAAGUGUUCGCAAUAGACGGUAUGGUUUUAUAUAGGCAUGUACCAAAGGUAGGAGUAAGAAAUCACGUUUUUGAUGUUGAAUAUAAUUACUGUUUAUUUCUGCAUUCUAUUUUAAAACAGCCACACACUGAAUAAAAACAAAAUUUUAGGUUAUAAUGUAAUUAUAUAUCAUUAGCAUGUAAGGAUACAGUGCCUAACGCGCUUGUGCGAAAUAUAACAGUUGCAUUGGACGUUGGAAGACCUUAAUAGCCUAAAAGUUAAAAGCUAGCUAGAUUCUUCACUACCAAUACCACAACGAUCUGUACGAAGUUGAUCUUGAACACUCCAGUGAAAAAUCACGAGUCUAACUUUCUGCACUACACACACGAAUACACUUCUGCUGCAUCAACAUAUAUGUGAAUGAGGCAAAUUAGGCACUUCAAUUUAAAAAUUAAAAUAAUAAGUAAUCAUGCAUGUUAUUUAAAAUAGGUAAUAUUUUAAGCAACAAGUAUAAAUUACGAUUUAUGUUAUUUAAAUUAUAUUAAAAUUUAGAUAUUAUUGAGUACGUUAUAGGUAUUUUUUGUUGUCAAAAAUAAGGUUUAUAACCUGUUUCUCCACAAACAUUGGGGUUGUUUAUUUGACAAUUAUUUCAAGCAUCCAUUAAAAACGUCAUGGUUUUUUGGCUGUGUUAUUUCUUAAACCAUCUUUCUAAAUUGACCAUUGAUACUAAUAUACUGUGACUAUAGGGUAUUACCAGUCUUUCAUCUUUUCCUAAACGGAAAAUAACUUGAUUUAUUUGAACUGCUAGUCAUGCAUUUCUUUCAACUUUUCGUUCUCCUUGUCCCUGACAAUAUUCGUUAUUUUUUCAAAAUAAUACGACAAUUCUGUGUAUAUCGGUAAAUGAAUUUAUAAACUUAAAGCUUACAAUUUGCACUUCGG